CAGGUAUCAAAUAGAAUGUAUUUUGUACCCAUAAAAAUGUUCAUAGUCCUUAAGCCACUUGAUAUUGGUAACUUGCGUGUUUGAGCUUUACAGCUCAGCUUUUUUCACGACUUGCACACUCAGGCUGUGCUGAAAGUCUCUUAUUCUGUCAUAGAUCUGUUCCUCUGAAAAUGUUGUUUUUUCGUUCUUUUCCACCCGGUUCUUUGGUUGAUGAUGGUAUUCCUGUCUCUGCUUGGACUCCCAGUGUGAGUGUUGUGCUGGUGGUUUAUCAGUAGCUGAGUUUUGUUAUUACAGCGUGUGUUUGGGUGUGGUUUUGUUUGUGCCGGGUUUUGCCCCGGGAUGGACUCCGCUAUCUUGUGUCCCUUGAGUCAUUUUGAGAUGGUGACACUUCCACGAGGAGCAGUGCUCUUGCCUUCCCGUGGCCAGCACUGCAGUUCCCUCCCUUAUGCUGGCGUUCCUGGCCCGGUGCUGUGCUAUUCUCAUUUCCCAUUUGUACUCCAGGGAGUUUCCACAAGACUUCCAGCUGUAAGUCAGUUUUGCUCUCCUGCAUCAGAAGUGACACCAGGGCUGCUCUGUUUGCUUUGGUUGCAAGCAGAUCUUCUUCUUUUUUGUUGUCCCCAUCCUCAUUUGGCC
rnacentral:lncRNA from 12 species